GACGAACGCUGGCGGCGUGCUUAACACAUGCAAGUCGAACGAAGAGCGAUGGAAGCUUGCUUCUAUCAAUCUUAGUGGCGAACGGGUGAGUAACGCGUAAUCAACCUGCCCUUCAGAGGGGGACAACAGUUGGAAACGACUGCUAAUACCGCAUACGAUCCAAUCUCGGCAUCGGGACUGGAUGAAAGGUGGCCUCUAUUUAUAAGCUAUCACUGAAGGAGGGGAUUGCGUCUGAUUAGCUAGUUGGAGGGGUAACGGCCCACCAAGGCGAUGAUCAGUAGCCGGUCUGAGAGGAUGAACGGCCACAUUGGGACUGAGACACGGCCCAGACUCCUACGGGAGGCAGCAGUGGGGAAUCUUCCGCAAUGGACGAAAGUCUGACGGAGCAACGCCGCGUGAGUGAUGACGGCCUUCGGGUUGUAAAGCUCUGUUAAUCGGGACGAAUGAUUCUUGUGCAAAUAGUGCGAGGAUUUGACGGUACCGGAAUAGAAAGCCACGGCUAACUACGUGC
rnacentral:rRNA from 1 species